ACGGUCCNANAUUCCUUNCGGGAGGGCACCNAGUGGGAAUUUUUGCNCAAUGGGCGCCAAGCCUUAAUGCAGCAACCNCGGCGUAAGUNAAAAAGCCUUUGGGUUGUAAACUCUUUCGGUUNANAAAAAGGGUCGUUAGAUUAAUANACUAGCGAUUUGACGGUAUCAAAAGAANAAGUACCGGCUAACUCCGUGCCAGCAGCCGCGGUAAUACGAGGGUACAAGCGUUGUUCGGAAUUACUGGGCGUAAAGGGCGCGUAGGCGGGUUAGUGUGUCGAUUGUGAAAUCCCCAAGCUCAACUUGGGAAUUGCAGUCGAAACUACUGAUCUUGAAUGCUCAAGAGGGUGGCGGAAUUCCAGGUGUAGAAGUGAAAUUCGUAGAUAUCUGGAGGAACACCGGAGACGAAGGUGGCUACCUGGUGGUGCAUUGACGCUGAGGCGCGAAAGCGCGGGGAUCAAACAGGAUUAGAUACCCUGGUAGUCCGCGCCGUAAACGAUGGAUACUAGGCGUUCGAAGUGUUAACCCUUUGAGUGCCGAAGCUCACGCAUUAAGUAUCCCGCCUGGGAAGUACGGUCGCAAGACUAAAACUCAAAGGAAUUGACGGGGGCCCGCACAAGAGGUGGAGUAUGUGGUUUAAUUCGAAGCAACGCGCAGAACCUUACCUGGUCUUGACAUCCUACGACGACUGCAGAGAUGUAGUUUCCCUUUCGGGGGCGUAGAGACAGGUGCUGCAUGGCUGUCGUCAGCUCGUGUUGUGAAAUGU
rnacentral:rRNA from 1 species